AUUGAACGCUGGCGGCAGGCCUAACACAUGCAAGUCGAGCGGUAGAGAGAAGCUUGCUUCUCUUGAGAGCGGCGGACGGGUGAGUAAUGCCUAGGAAUCUGCCUAGUGGUGGGGGAUAACGUUCGGAAACGGACGCUAAUACCGCAUACGUCCUACGGGAGAAAGCGGGGGACCUUCGGGCCUCGCGCCAUUAGAUGAGCCUAGGUCGGAUUAGCUAGUUGGUGAGGUAAUGGCUCACCAAGGCUACGAUCCGUAACUGGUCUGAGAGGAUGAUCAGUCACACUGGAACUGAGACACGGUCCAGACUCCUACGGGAGGCAGCAGUGGGGAAUAUUGGACAAUGGGCGAAAGCCUGAUCCAGCCAUGCCGCGUGUGUGAAGAAGGUCUUCGGAUUGUAAAGCACUUUAAGUUGGGAGGAAGGGUAGUAACUUAAUACGUUGCUACUUUGACGUUACCGACAGAAUAAGCACCGGCUAACUUCGUGCCAGCAGCCGCGGUAAUACGAAGGGUGCAAG
rnacentral:rRNA from 1 species